CCUACGGGUGGCAGCAGUGGGGAAUAUUGGACAAUGGACGAAACUCUGAAGCAGCGACGUCGCGUGAAGGAAGACUGACCUAUGUAUUGAAAGCUUUUUUUAUAUGGGAGUAAAAUGCUCUACGUGUGGGAUUUUGUCUGUAUAAUAUGGAUAAAGAACGGCUAACACCGUGCCAGGAGCAGCGGUAAUACGGAGGAACCGAGCGUUAUCCGGACUUAUUGGGUGUAAAGGGAGCGUAGGUGGAUUGUUAAGUCAGUUUUGAAAGUUUGCGGCUCAACCGUAAAAUUGCAGUUGAUACUUGCAUGCUUGAGUACAGUAGAGGUAGGCGGAAUUCGUGGUGUAGCGGUGAAAUGCUUAGAUAUCACGAAGAACUCCGAUUGCGAAGGCAGUUCACUGGACUGCAACUGACAUUGAGGCUCGAAAGUGUGGGGAUCAAACAGGAUUAGAUACCCUAGUAGUC
rnacentral:rRNA from 1 species